GACGAACGCUGGCGGCGUGCUUAACACAUGCAAGUCGAACGGGAUUCAACCAGUGGCAACACUGGGGAAGAUCUAGUGGCGAACGGGUGCGUAACACGUGAGGAACCUACCCCGGUCUCUGGAAUAACAGGUGGAAACACCUGCUAAUACCGGAUGCCGUCGGACCAUCGCAUGGUGGACCGACGAAAGAAUUUCGGAUCGGGACGGCCUCGCGGCCUAUCAGCUUGUUGGUGGGGUAAUGGCCUACCAAGGCAACGACGGGUAGCUGGUCUGAGAGGAUGAUGAGCCACACUGGGACUGAGACACGGCCCAGACUCCUACGGGAGGCAGCAGUGGGGAAUCUUGCGCAAUGGGCGAAAGCCUGACGCAGCAACGCCGCGUGCGGGAUGAAGGCCUUCGGGUUGUAAACCGCUUUCAGCAGGAACGAAACUGACGGUACCUGCAGAAGAAGGUGCGGCCAACUACGUGCCAGCAGCCGCAGUAA
rnacentral:rRNA from 1 species